rnacentral:rRNA from 1 species
AUAACAACAGAUGAUGCCUAUCUAAACUGUUUAAAAAGUAUGGUUCUGCUAUCACUCUUGGAUGGACCUGCGGUGCAUUAGCUAGUUGGUAGGGUAACGGCCUACCAAGGCGAUGAUGCAUAGCCGAGUUGAGAGACUGAUCGGCCACGAUUGGGACUGAGACCACGGCCCAAACUCCUACGGGAGGCAGCAGUAGGGAAUCUUCCACAAUGGACGCAAGUCUGAUGGAGCAACGCCGCGUGAGUGAAGAAGGGUUUCGGCUCGUAAAGCUCUGUUGUUGGCGAAGAAGGACAGGGGUAGUAACUGACCUUUGUUUGACGGUAAUCAAUUAGAAAGUCACGGGCUAACUACGUGCCAGCAGCCGCGGUAAAU